AGCAGUCGCCGCGGUAACACCGAGGAUGCAAGCGUUGUCCGGAAUUAUUGGGCGUAAAGGGUGCGUAGGCGGUUUGAUAAGUCAUCUGUGAAAUCUCUGGGCUCAACCCAGAGUCUGCAGGCGAAACUGUCGAGCUUGAGUAUUGGAGAGGUGAGUGGAAUUUCCGGUGUAGCGGUGAAAUGCGUAUAUAUCGGAAGGAACACCUGUGGCGAAAGCGGCUCACUGGACAAUUACUGACGCUGAUGCACGAGAGCUAGGGGAGCAAACAGGAUUAGAUACCCCGGUAGUCCCUGUCUCUUAUAC
rnacentral:rRNA from 1 species